GAUAAACGCUGGCGGCGUGCAUUAUGCAUGCAAGUCGAACGGUGCCCGCAAGGGCACAGUGGCAAACGGGUGAGUAACACAUAAGUAACCUGUCCCUGAGUGGGGAAUAAUUGGCCGAAAGGCUGACUAAUACCGCAUUCGAUGUGCCCUCACAAGAGGGUUCAUGAAAGCCGCAAGGCGCUCGGGGAGGGGCUUGUGUCCGAUUAGCUAGUUGGUGAGGUAAUGGCCCACCAAGGCUGUGAUCGGUAGCUGGUCUGAGAGGAUGGUCAGCCACACUGGGACUGAGACACGGCCCAGACUCCUACGGGUGGCAG
rnacentral:rRNA from 1 species